rnacentral:rRNA from 1 species
GACGUAGGGCGCGAGCGUUGUCCGGAUUUAUUGGGCGUAAAGAGCUCGUAGGCGGCUUGUCGCGUCGUCCGUGAAAACCCACAGCUCAACUGUGGGCUUGCGGUCGAUACGGGCAGGCUAGAGUUCGGUAGGGGAGACUGGAAUUCCUGGUGUAGCGGUGAGAUGCGCAGAUAUCAGGAGGAACACCGGUGGCGAAGGCGGGUCUCUGGGCCGAUACUGACGCUGAGGAGCGAAAGCGUGGGGAGCGAACAGG